rnacentral:lncRNA from 13 species
CAAGCUCUGACUUCUGAGAUUGGCAAACAAACGUGGGAUGUAGGUCCCAAGUAGUAAAUUAAGUUGUUUUAGUGAGUAGGGCAAAGUAAGCUGAACAAAGUCUAUGAUAGUAUAAUGGUGGGUGUUUAAUCCGAGCUUGUUUGACAGUUUUAGUCAGCAAAAUGCCGUGUUUGCGAGUCGCAGAACUACUGAAUUCUAUUUUCAAAGCCGUGGCAAGUUUCGCGUAGUAGUUUUGCACGUGUAGCUGUUGUAGACGAAUUAACCUUGUCACGUGUCUAUUUGACGUUCGCUUCAACAGGUGAAGCCUGUCAGAACCCGUAGUGUUUGAAUAGCUAUCCUCUAUGUCUGCUAAGAAUGUUUCAGUGUUGUUUGGCUGACCUGGAACGGGGUCAAAGGUGAGGAAGUUUAACGAUUUUGUCAAGGUGUUCGGAGCUAAGUAUGUGGAGAAGGUUGGCUUCAUCCUGUCAGGAAUUAUGGGCAGUUUAGCCAUGAGGAGAAGCUUUGUUGGCAAGGAGGCGCCAUAUUACACUGUGUAAAAUGGCCAAGAGGAAAAGACUGAGGGACCCCUGAGAGAGGUAAAGUCUGAAACCUUCUGCCGUGUUCCCGCCUUUCUGUACCGAGCUCCGGUUGUGAGCUUGGUUGUUUGGUUGGGUGACUGUUCUGGAGUUCCUCCAGGUGGUAUCAGCUCCUACUGCUGCUAGCGUGGGGGUGAGACUGGUAGGGAGCACUACAGGGUUAAAGAUCAUCUCCUACUGCUGCUAGCGUGGGGGUGAGACUGGUAGGGAGCACCACAGGGUUAAAGAUCGUCUCCUACAGCUGCUAGCGUGGGGGUGGUAGGGAGCACCACAGGGUUAAAUAUCAUCUCCUACUGCUGCUAGCGUGGGGGUGAGGGGGAGACUGGUAGGGAGCACCACAGGGUUAAAGAUCAGCUCCUACUGCUGCUGGCGUGGGGAUGAGGGGGAGACUGGUAGGGAGCACCACAGGGUUAAAGAUCAUCUCCUACUGCUGCUAGCGUGGGGGUGAGACUGGUAGGGAGCACUACAGGGUUAAAGAUCAGCUCCUACUGCUGCUGGCGUGGGGGUUUUUUUAUUUAUUUAUUUAUUUAACCUUUAUUUAACCAGGUAGGCAAGUUGAGAACAAGUUCUCAUUUACAAUUGCGACCUGGCCAAGAUAAAGCAAAGCAGUUCGACAGAUUCAACAACACAGAGUUACACAUGGAGUAAAACAAACAUACAGUCAAUAAUAAAGUAUAAACAAGUCUAUAUAUAAUGUGAGCAAAUGAGGUGAGAAGGGAGGUAAAGGCAAAAAAGGCCUUGGUGGCAAGGUAAAUACAAU